GUAGGUGAACCUGCGGAAGGAUCAUUAACACGUAUCCACGUUGAAUCACCGCGAAUUCUUAGGGUAGGCUUACUUGAGAAAAGGCCUAACUCUGAGGACCAAACAAAAGUGUGUCCAGAAAAAGCCAAACCACGGAUCUGCUCUUCGGAAUAGAAUCUGGGGGAGGACUUAGUAUGAGGAGGGACAUUGGGUGAGGUCAAUCGACUCAACAAAGUGUUUCCAGCAAAAUCCUACUUCGGUGGGAAUUUGUCUGGAGAUGCGGCGAGGAGGUCUUGGCAGCACCCAGCGACCCUGCUCAGAAGGGCCAUACCCCGGAAUCUGUACUGGGAAUGGAACUUUGGGGAAGCUUCAUCUGGAUGUGCCAGAGUGAGGUCUUUGGAGUGAAGCUCUGCUCGAACUCGACUUAGCGGUUGAGUUAGGGCUAUGCCCCUUUCAGGGACAAAUCUUCGGAGGCGUCUCUGAUCGGGGAAUUGUCUUGGUUCUG
rnacentral:misc_RNA from 1 species